ACGAUAAAAAUCGCGGCGUCUACAAAACGUACAUCCAAAUCUAUUAGGUAUAGUUUUACUUUGAUAUAUUUUUGUUUACGGUUUGCUGAUUUUUGGCGUCUUGAUAUUUUAUCUGGGCUGUAAAGCAAUAUUUUAUUUCUGUUUAUUUUUCAAAGUCGAAAGACCAUUGCGGUGAUUUUUCAAAAGGCACCGAUUAACAUUUUCGUGCAAAAAUCAGGCUUUGCGAACACAAAAAGUAAAACUAUUGAUAUCUAAAGGCCACCUCCCACCCUUUGAACAUGUCAGACGUGUGAAAAACUGUCAUUAUUCAAGACACCCCUAUCUAAAGCUAAGUUAUAGGGCACAGACACGGAUUCUAGAAAAGCCGCAUCGGCUAUCAUGCAGUGGCUGGAGGACGAUGGAUGAGGAAUGGUUUGGGGGUCUCCUAUCUACGAUAAGAAAUGAUUUAUUACAAUUACAAUACUUAGACGAACAAGCAGCCCACAGACGUCCACUGCUCGACAUAGGCCUCCCCCAGGCCUCGCCACGAAGAUCGAGCCUGCACUACUUGCAUCCAGCGGGUCUUGUGGGAGGCCUACACACGCUAAGCGGAACGUACUAGAAGAUGUAGGCGUUCCGCAUCCAAAGAACUAGCCUCAUUCAGUCACGGACGUACGUAAUUAACACCUCUGCAUUCAAGAUCAGUAUUUAUGGGGCAACGAAGAAUUGUUCGUAAGAGACUGCGUUUUUCAAAUGUAUUGAAAAAACAACCCAACCAAACAAACAAAAAAAAUCUUAAUGACAGAUUUUUCUUUCUUGCUUAUGCAAAUUCGUUUUCUAAGCUAUUACUUCUACGACGCCAGCAAUAUGGGAAUAUUUUUUAGCAGCGAAAUUUCUACAAGAUACUACUAAGCUAAGCAUUAAAUUGUUCAAAGUUAUUCGAGUUUAAACGAGUCUUGUAAUAAAACGCUGUAACUAAGUUAACGUCAGGGCGGGGCGUGUUUUACGUUCUCAACUAAUUGGAUUGCAGUUUUUGCAUGUGUUUUCUGUAAAAUAAUUUAAUAAAAAAAAACUGUAGUUCUUGUACAACGCUUAAGUUGUUCCCUUGUUGAUUUUGGAUUAGAUUUUUAUUAAAUUUAAACAGAUAUCUGGUGCCUAUGUGCAGUUUUCAAUUACAUUGUUAUUAUGAUUUUAAGUAUCCAAACUUUAAUUUUGUUUUAAGCGAAAUUUCGGUUUUUUUUUUACGUUCGAACAAAAUCUUUUUAAAAUAGUGGUAAUAGUCUAGUCUGGGACGAGGAGCCUGAUGACUUGAAGUAUGAUGAUGUCAUAAGGUCCCUUCUCACACGACACCGACACUGACGUCCAAUCACUUAUUAAAUAGAAGAAUUAAAAACAAAGAAGUAAUUUUACAUUAAUGGUGUUGAUAGAGUUUCUUUACCAUUUUAUUGCGAACGGGCUGAGUUGUUAAUUAGCGAGUAUCGGUGGCAAUAUCAGCGCCAAUCACAUUUGAGUUUACCAGAUUAAUUUUUUUUUUGGAACGAAGUUUUGGAACGUAGUUCCUUAUGGAACGAUGCGGAGGGGUACCCUAACCGGGAAAAAACGUCCGUAAUGUAAGAUUUUUCUUAUUUAUGUAUAGUCUUAGUAUGAUGGCUAUACAGUGUCUAAUGUAUAGUCUACGUGAUGACGGUUAUUAUUAUUAUUCAUAUAAAUAGCUGUUUCUUUGUAUGUUAUUGUUGUAUAUUUUUUAUAAAUCAUUGUGAAUAAAGAAAAUUUGAUAACUUUGUAAA